GUGAAUCAUCAAAUUUUUGAACGCAAAUUGCACUUCCUGGGAUCCCGGGGAGUAUGCCUGUUUGAGGGUAAGUAUUAACAAAAAAUCGGUUUGGUUGCAAAUUGUGACGUGUCCGGUGUUUGGGCUAUCUUAACUUUUUUGGUUAAGAGUCUUAAAAUUGACCCUUUUUGCGCAUUUUUAGACGGACAUAAAUUUUUAUUUAUUCGUCUAUUCUUAAUUCAAAAAUCGUA
rnacentral:misc_RNA from 1 species